GUUCUGCAUGCUUUUCUUGAUUAAUAUUACCAUUCAAAUACUGAAAUAAAAGGUUAUGAAUCUUCUUUGUUUGAACAUGAAAAGAGUCACGAACAAUAUAAUAUUCCAGAGCUUCCCCCCAACAUCCAGCAAGAACUUGAAAUUGUUGCGCGACCCUGCAGGUGGUCAUGAUACACGCAACAAAAGCAUGAACUGCUAAAAUCUUUUUUAGGCGUCUAUCAACUGCAGAGGAAUAAAUAUGAUAAACCGAAUGAAACCUCUACUUUACAGUCCAGAUUUAUAAAAAAAUUACUGUCACAAUUCUCGAGCUCUCUUGCUGAUGACGAAUACUCAUAGACGUGGACUCACAUUUGCAAGCCUAUGGAGCCUAUGGAUAUUCUGAAAGAUAUAUAACAUCCGAGAGAAUCGAGCAAACCUGGAACAACACUUUAAAAUGUCACUGCGACUCGACUCUGUUGAGCAAGUUGUGUGUAAAAAUUUAUGAUUUCGUGCAGGAUAAUAUCCAGUGGAUGGUUAGAAAUGAUCAACAGAGAAUCUAGAAGUUCUGGGAUGAAGUUAACAAAGGCCUUUGGCAAGUCCAAGUAUUGGAAGAUGGAAAUAAUAAUCUUGCGGUUUACAAGCCUACGAUUCAUCUCAAAUCUUUUGGUUUCUAUCUUUUCCAACUUGGAGGGGAUUUAGAAGAUCUGGAAGUUGAAUAGCCGUUAAAACGCUGAGCAGUCAGGUCUGGGCAUUGCUCCACUUUUGAAAGAUAGUCACCGACGGUAUAAAGGUGGAACAUUCAACAACCAACGGAUGAUUGUGGACUAUAAUGAGUUUGAGAAACAAUCAAAAACCGGUGUUUUAUAAGUCCUAGAACGACUCCCCAGUGAAACAGUCUAUGAGUUUUCAAAUCCGCCGUACGCAAAUGUGUCUCAUCUUGGAAUGCCUGUUAGGUUUGAUUUUAACCCCGUACUGUUUGUAUGUAAUAAAUAAUAAGUUUAAUUUAACCCUGUGAUGUUUUUGUGGUAUAAAAAAGUCAACCCUAUGCUGAAAUAUUAAACUUUUAUUCUAUUUUAUCAUUUUUAUUCAUAAUCUUUAUAUUUUACUCACACAAAUGUAUCUCAUCUGGGAAUACCCGAUAAGUUUGAUUUUAGCCCUGUACUUUUUGUAUGGGAUAAAUAUUCAUUUUUGUGUUGUUUUUGUGUGAUAAAUAAAGUCAAGUCUAUGCUGAAACUUGAGAUUUUAAACUAUUUUUUAUGAUAAUUAUUAAUACGAUUAAUCAUAUUCAUAAUUAUAAUUUAUACUCAUAUUCAUCUAAUCUGUAUUCAUUACUGCAAUAUUAAAUAUGCUGAAUUAUCGGUUAAUAUUAAACUGUGCUUUUGCUGUAAGUGAGUUUCGGAAACUUCUCUGAUAUGUAGUGGAGCCACCAUAAAUCUUAGACUAUUUUAUUGAUUUUUUGUUGCUAUCAUAUGUGGUACAGGGUGUCCAUAAAGUCCCUUUACAAUUCCAAUAAGGGUCAGUUCUCAAUAUACCUUAACCAGGUUUGUUGUUUUUUAAUCAGUAAUUGUUCAAGUGUUUUAACUUAAUUCAAUACAUCAGUGAGGGCCAACCCAGUAUUCGGUAUCUAUGACCUCUAAGAAAGUUUAGGACUUUAUGGACACCCUAUCUAUCUUGUUUUUAUCAGUGGCUCCCAUAUCACCUAAUUUUGCGUCAUGAUCUGUUUCGCGCCCUUCACUAAGAGAGUCUUAAGUUAUUCAACCACUGAUAUUUUUUAGAAAGACUCGAAUUUCCCGUUUCAGCUUGGCCAAACCCAAGUGCUUUAACUUCUGGUAUAUUUUACCUGCAAUGGUGUUAAAUUUUCAAAUUCGGGGCGAAAAUUUUUUUAAAUUUGCCACAAGAAAAUAAAACUUAAGAACCCCUAAACCAAGUCCCUAUUUUAUCAACCCACUCAGACUAUCACUAAUAAUAAUUGUGUAGUUGAAGCUUUUUGCCUAUAACAGCUCUUUUUUAUGUUAUUUCGCUCAAAAGCGGGUAGGAUAGAUUUGAGCUGUCAAUGGCAAACUAGACUUCCUCGAUUAUAUAGAUCAGUGGUUUUCAAACUUUUUAGACCGCAGCCCCUUUUUAUAAUUUUUCAGUCUCGCGUUCCACCUAAAAAAUAACUACAGUAGCUAACAAUAAACUACAAAUAACAGAUGGUAAGACGAAAGUA